rnacentral:rRNA from 1 species
CAUGUAGGCGGCUCGUCAAGUCUGAUGUGAAAGCCCUGGGCUCAACCCAGGAAGUGCAUUGGAAACUGACGAACUUGAGUACGGGAGAGGAAAGUGGAAUUUCGAGUGUAGGGGUGAAAUCCGUAGAUAUUCGAAGGAACACCAGUGGCGAAGGCGGCUUUCUGGACCGAUACUGACGCUGAGAUGCGAAAGCGUGGGGAGCAAACAGGAUUAGAUACCCUGGUAGUCC